UGAACACACUACUGUAAGUCGCUUUGGAUAAAAGUGUCUACUAAAUGGCAUAAA
rfam:Salmo salar isolate Sally breed double haploid chromosome ssa09, whole genome shotgun sequence.